rnacentral:rRNA from 1 species
AGAUGGCGACCGGCGCACGGGUGAGUAACACGUAUCCAACCUGCCGAUAACUCGGGGAUAGCCUUUCGAAAGAAAGAUUAAUACCCGAUGGCAUAAUUAGACCGCAUGGGCUUAUUAUUAAAGAAUUUCGGUUAUCGAUGGGGAUGCGUUCCAUUAGGCAGUUGGUGAGGUAACGGCUCACCAAACCUUCGAUGGAUAGGGGUUCUGAGAGGAAGGUCCCCCACAUUGGAACUGAGACACGGUCCAA